GGGGCAAGCGUUAUCCGGAUUUACUGGGCGUAAAGAGCGUUGAGGCGGUCUUGUAAGUUGGGCGUUAAAGCCCUGGGCUUAACUCAGGGAAGCCGUUCAAUACUGCGAAACUUGAGGGCAGCAGAGGGAGGUGGAAUUCCCGGAGUAGCGGUGACAUGCGUAGAUAUCGGGAGGAACACCAGUGGCGAAGGCGGCCUCCUGGGCUGCUCCUGACGCUGAAGGCGAAAGCUAGGGGAGCGAACGGGAUUAGAAACCCCGGUAGUCCUAGCCGUAAACGAUGGAUGCUAGGUCUGGGGGGUGUAGAUUCCCUCCGUGCCGCAGUUAACGCGUUAAGCAUCCCGCCUGGGGAGUACGGCCGCAAGGCUAAAACUCAAACGAAUUGACGGGGGCCCGCACAAGCAGCGGAGCGUGUGGUUUAAUUCGAUGCUACACGAAGAACCUUACAUGGGCUUGACAUACAGGUAGUAGUGAAGUGAAAGCGGAUCGAUCCUUCCGGGGAGCCUGUACAGGUGCUGCAUGGCUGUCGUCAGCUCGUGCCGUGAGGUGUCGGGUUAAGUCCCGUAACGAGCGCAACCCUUGCUCUUAGUUAUACGUGUCUAAGAGGAUUGCCGACGGUAAGCCGGAGGAAGUUGGGGAUGACGUCAAGUCAGCAUGGCCUUUAUGUCCAGGGCUACACACACGCUACAAUGGCCGGUACAAUGGGUAGCUAAACCGCGAGGUGGAGCCAAUCCUGUAAAGCCGGUCUCAGUUCGAAUUGCAGGCUGCAACUCGCCUGCAUGAAGUUCGGAGUUGCUAGUAAUCAGCAGGUCAGCAAUACUCACGGUGAAUACGUUCCCGGGCCUUGUACACACCGCCCGUCACGUCAU
rnacentral:rRNA from 1 species